rnacentral:rRNA from 1 species
GCACAAGCGGUGGAGCAUGUGGUUAAUUCGACGCAACGCGAAGAACCUUACCAGGGCUUGACAUCCCCUGACCGCGUAUGAAAGUACGUUUUCACCCUCGGGUGACAGGGAGACAGGUGGUGCAUGGUUGUCGUCAGCUCGUGUCGUGAGAUGUUGGGUUAAGUCCCGCAACGAGCGCAACCCCUACGUUUAGUUGCUAACGCGUGAAGGCGAGCACUCUAGACGAACUGCCGUUGACAAAACGGAGGAAGGUGGGGAUGACGUCAAAUCAUCAUGCCCCUUAUGUUCUGGGCUACACACGUGCUACAAUGGCCGGUACAGACGGAGGCGAAGCCGCGAGGCGGAGCAAAUCCGAAAAAGCCGGUCUCAGUUCGGAUUGCAGGCUGCAAUUCGCCUGCAUGAAGUCGGAAUCGCUAGUAAUCGCAGGUCAGCAUACUGCGGUGAAUACGUUCCCGGGCCUU